rnacentral:misc_RNA from 1 species
UGGAGAAUGGCGGAAUCGGCGAUCCGGUGGAGGCGGCGCGGGCGGCGCUGCUAGGCGAUCACCGCGACGAGGCCAGGCUGUGGGCGGCGCGGCGGCGGAACUCGGUGGGCUCGCUGCGCGGCGAGUUCGUCUCCCGCCUGCCGGAUAAGGUCCGCCGCGGCGUUGACCCGGAGAGCCCCGAUCACAUCGACAUCUCCCGCACCAAGGACCUCAUCGACGGAGAAAAAGACUAUUAUGAGAG